rnacentral:lncRNA from 1 species
UUUAUGUAUGGACUUGCAAGUUGUUACAAAGUUGAAAUGUCAAUGAAACACUUGUUUGUCGUUAGCGUUUGUAUUUUGAGAGGUUGAAAAGUUGAGAAGGACAAGGAAAGAAAUUUCUAAGGAACAACGAGCACAAACUUUGAUGAUGAAAUCAAUAAGAUAAGCUUUUUAUAUGCAUUACAAGUCAAAAUACAGGACCCUUGUCACUUUACUAGUUUCUAUUUCAUGGUCCCUAC